GCUUGAUAUGGCUCAGUUGGUAGAGCGCACCCUUGGUAAGGGUGAGGUCCCCAGUUCGACUCUGGGUAUCAGCACCA
rnacentral:tRNA from 1 species